UACGAAGGGGGGCUAGCGUUGUUCGGAAUUACUGGGCGUAAAGCGCACGUAGGCGGAUUUGUAAGUCAGGGGGUGAAAUCCCGGGGCUCAACCUCGGAACUGCCUUUGAUACUGCAAGUCUUGAGUCCAUAGAGGUAAGUGGAAUUCCUAGUGUAGAGGUGAAAUUCGUAGAUAUUAGGAAGAACACCAGUGGCGAAGGCGGCUCACUGGAUCGGUACUGACGCUGAGGUGCGAAAGCGUGGGGAGCAAACAGG
rnacentral:rRNA from 1 species